rnacentral:rRNA from 1 species
CAGUCGAACGGGAUCUUCGGAUUCUAGUGGCGGACGGGUGAGUAACGCGUAAGAAUCUAACUUCAGGACGGGGACAACAGUUGGAAACGACUGCUAAUACCCGAUAUGCCGCGAGGUGAAACCUAAUUGGCCUGAAGAAGAGCUUGCGUCUGAUUAGCUAGUUGGUGGGGUAAGAGCCUACCAAGGCGACGAUCAGUAGCUGGUCUGAGAGGAUGAGCAGCCACACUGGGACUGAGACACGGCCCAGGCUCCUACGGGAGGCAGCAGUGGGGAAUUUUCCGCAAUGGGCGAAAGCCUGACGGAGCAACGCCGCGUGAGGGAGGAAGGUCUUUGGAUUGUAAACCUCUUUUCUCAAGGAAGAAGUUCUGACGGUACUUGAGGAAUCAGCCUCGGCUAACUCCGUGCCAGCAGCCGCGGUAAUACGGGGGAGGCAAGCGUUAUCCGGAAUUAUUGGGCGUAAAGCGUCCGCAGGUGGUCAGCCAAGUCUGCUGUCAAAUCAGGUUGCUUAACGACCUAAAGGCGGUGGAAACUGGCAGACUAGAGAGCAGUAGGGGUAGCAGGAAUUCCCAGUGUAGCGGUGAAAUGCGUAGAGAUUGGGAAGAACAUCGGUGGCGAAAGCGUGCUACUGGGCUGUAUCUGACACUCAGGGACGAAAGCUAGGGGAGCGAAAGGGAUUAGAUACCCCUGUAGUCCUAGCCGUAAACGAUGGAUACUAGGCGUGGCUUGUAUCGACCCGAGCCGUGCCGAAGCUAACGCGUUAAGUAUCCCGCCUGGGGAGUACGCACGCAAGUGUGAAACUCAAAGGAAUUGACGG